CUCCUGGCUCAACUGGGAGAGGCCGUUCUAAACUACAGAACUAGAGGAUGGUAGAGGGGAGGUGGAAUUCCAGGUGUAGCGGUGGAAUGCGCAGAUAUCUGGAGGAACACCGGUGGCGAAGGCGGCCUCCUGGACCAUUCCUGACACUCAGACGCGAAAGCUAGGGUAGCAAACGGGAUUAGAGACCCCGGUAGUCCUAGCCCUAAACGAUGUAGACUAGGCGUCGGAAGUUUAAUCACUUUCGGUGUCCAAGCUAACGCGAUAAGUCUACCGCCUGGGGACUACGGCCGCAAGGUUAAAACUCAAAGGAAUUGACGGGUCCCCGCACAAGCAGCGGAGCGUGUGGUUUAAUUCGUUGCUACACGAAGAACCUUACCUGGGUUUGACAUAGCAGUGGUAGGGAAGCGAAAGCGGACCGACCCUUCGGGGAGCUGUUACAGGUGUUGCAUGGCUGUCGUCAGCUCGUGUCGUGAGAUGUUCGGUUAAGUCCGCUAACGAGCGCAACCCGCGUUGUGUGUUACAAGUGUCACACAAUACCGCCGGUAUUAAGUCGGAGGAAGGUGCGGAUGACGUCAAGUCAGCAUGACCUUUAUAUCCAGGGCUACACACACGCUACAAUGGUCAGCACAAUAGGUUGCCAAGUCGUGAGACGGAGCCAAUCCCCCAAAGCUGGCCUCAGUUCAGAUUGCAGGCUGCAACUCGCCUGCAUGAAGUUGGAGUUGCUAGUAACCGCAGGUCAGCUAUACUGCGGUGAAUACGUUCCCGGGGAUUGUACACACCGCCCGU
rnacentral:rRNA from 1 species